rnacentral:rRNA from 1 species
UACGAAGGGGGCUAGCGUUGCUCGGAAUUACUGGGCGUAAAGGGCGCGUAGGCGGAUAUUUAAGUUGGGGGUGAAAUCCCGGGGCUCAACCUCGGAAUUGCCUUCAAAACUGGAUAUCUUGAGUUCGGGAGAGGUGAGUGGAACUCCGAGUGUAGAGGUGAAAUUCGUAGAUAUUCGGAAGAACACCAGUGGCGAAGGCGACUCACUGGCCCGAUACUGACGCUGAGGCGCGAAAGCGUGGGGAGCAAACAGGAUUAGAAACCCCU